rnacentral:rRNA from 1 species
AACGAACGCUGGCGGCAGGCUUAACACAUGCAAGUCGAACGCCCCUUUCGGGGGGAGUGGCAGACGGGUGAGUAACGCGUGGGAACGUGCCCUUCAGUUCGGAAUAACCCAGGGAAACUUGGGCUAAUACCGGAUACGUGCGAGAGCAGAAAGAUUUAUCGCUGAAGGAUCGGCCCGCGUCUGAUUAGCUAGUUGGUGGGGUAAUGGCCCACCAAGGCGACGAUCAGUAGCUGGUCUGAGAGGAUGAUCAGCCACAUUGGGACUGAGACACGGCCCAAACUCCUACGGGAGGCAGCAGUGGGGAAUAUUGGACAAUGGGCGCAAGCCUGAUCCAGCCAUGCCGCGUGAGUGAUGAAGGCCUUAGGGUUGUAAAGCUCUUUCAGUGGGGACGAUAAUGACGGUACCCGCAG